rnacentral:tRNA from 1 species
GACUUGAUACUUUAAAUUUAAAAGGUCUGAUUUGCAUUUAGAUAAUAAGUCAAGAGGCUUUCAGGUCA